rnacentral:rRNA from 1 species
GGUUUGUUAAGUCAGAUGUGAAAGCCCGGGGCUCAACCUCGGAACCGCAUUUGAAACUGGCAGGCUAGAGUCUUGUAGAGGGGGGUAGAAUUUCAGGUGUGGCGGUGAAAUGAGUAGAGAUCUGAAGGAAUACCAGUGGCGAAGGCGGCCCCCUGGACAAAGACUGACGCUCAGAUGCGAAAGCGUGGGUAGCAAACAGGAUUAGAUACCCUGGUAGUCCACGCCGUAAACGCUGUCUACUUGGAGGUUGAGGUUUAGACUUUGGCUUUCGGCGCUAACGCAUUAAGUAGACCGCCUGGGGAGUACGGCCGCAAGGUUAAAACUCAAAUGAAUUGACGGGGGCCCGCACAAGCGGUGGAGCAUGUGGUUUAAUUCGAUGCAACGCGAAGAACCUUACCUACUCUUGACAUCCAGAGAACUUUCCAGAGAUGGAUUGGUGCCUUCGGGAACUCUGAGACAGGUGCUGCAUGGCUGUCGUCAGCUCGUGUUGUGAAAUGUUGGGUUAAGUCCCGCAACGAGCGCAACCCUUAUCCUUGUUUGCCAGCACGUAAAGGUGGGAACUCCAGGGAGACUGCCGGUGAUAAACCGGAGGAAGGUGGGGACGACGUCAAGUCAUCAUGGCCCUUACGAGUAGGGCUACACACGUGCUACAAUGGCAGAUACAGAGGGCAGCGAAGCUGCGAAGUGGAGCGAAUCCCUUAAAGUCUGUCGUAGUCCGGAUUGGAGUCUGCAACUCGACUCCA